GGCCAGGGGGGGGGCUUGUCCCUUCCCGCCUUGCUGCUUCUCCCGGGGAAACGCCGGAGCCGCGAAGAGAAAAGUUGGAGAACUUGGGAUUGGGUCCCGGGGGCGGCGCGUGAAUCACCCGCCCCGCGCCGGAGCCUGGCGGUGAAUCAUCGAUGCCUGGCGCAAACAGCCGCAUGCCGCGCCGGGGGGAGCGCAGCUUUGUUGUUGUGGCCGCGGCGGCGCCCGCGCGACCCCGCCGGGCUUCCCGGAGCCGUGACGGGGCUGCUGCGCGCGGAAAGUUUUGCGAGGCGAGGCUGUUUGUUUUCCUGGCACGGUGGGAAGGGACGGGGCUGAGCGGGAAUCCCCCUCGCCUUCAUGAGCGGACCCUGCGGCUUUCUUGCUCAGAUGAGACCCCGAAGGAUGAGGAGAAGGCCUUGCUAUCUGGGCAUGAGGAUCUGAUAAAAGCUCCAGGUAGAAGAUAAGUUAAGGAAUUGGAAGAAACUUCAGUCUACUGCAAAGAAAACAGAAGGAUCAGGGAGCGGACUCUAGAGUAAAAGUGCUGCCUCUCCUCUGCUCCUGGCUUUCAAACAGCUGACUAACCUUGCCCAACUCAUCAUCAGAAGUGAAUUCCCUACUGCUCAACAGACAUCCAAGUGGGAUGCAGCCUUGCCUUAACAAUAGAUGCUUAUCAACACAUCUCCACUGCUGCUACAAUCAACUGCCCCAAAACGAACCCAUCAGAAUCCAUGGAUCCUACACAUGCCUUUCACAAAAUGUGGUAUGUUUGUUCCAGUACACCAGAUACCCUCAAGGUAACUACAUGGGCAAAACUGAACAGCAACCAUGAGCCAUAAUGAAAUCGCAUAAGAAAAAUGUAAAAUAUAUUGCCCUCCCCCCCACCCUUUAAAAAAAAAAAAAAAAGUCCUUCUCUCUCAGUUAAUUCCUGGACCACCAUGGCUACAACACUUUUUAUACUGUAUAGUACCUAUUUAACGGUACAAUGCAGCUGGAAUCAAAGUAUCCAACACAGUGCUCUUUUUUUUCUCUUAAUUGAACUAGAGAACAUUUCCGUGAUGCAUUUUAGUAAGUUAAAAAUGAAAUGCAGAAAAACUCUGUUCGACUUACAGCAGUGGCAUUCGCUGUUUUAAUUGGCAGGCACUACAAGAGUUACAUGAUUAGAAGCAGGUUUUAGUCUGAUUUAAGAUGCACAUUUUUAAGGAUGAAAGCCAGUGGUAAGUGGGUGCUAACCUCCCCAGGGCACCAUGAAAAUGCCACCCUAAAUCUUUUGUUUUUAAGACCAUUCAUUUAUUUUGUAAAGGUCUAGUAAUAUAGUUGCUAUUUUCAUAUUCGCUUUUGAAUCAUUAGUUUUUGUUACAGAACAUACUUGGCAAGAGUAGAGUUCUUGGAGAUUGUUUCUUCCUGAGUUUACUAGAAUUUUAAAAUUUAUUGGGAUAAAGCCUAGUAAUAGGUUUUGUUUUUAAUUUGUAGUAUAACUUCAUUGCAUAGGUAUAGCUGCAAAGUUAUUUGGCAUGUGCAGUAUAAAUUUGAAUGUUAUUCUUGCUUCAGCUUUCAACUGUGGGAAGCAAAACCUUUGCUACUAAUAAUUUUAGUGUGAAUUAGUAAUUUUUUUCCAUACUUUUUCUUUCCUGCUCCUUCCAGAGAUUGAAAGGUGGCAUCAUCAUCUUGUAAAACUAUGUAAAGGCUUCAUAUUAUUGUACAACCUUUUUUGGACAAUGUGUUAAGAAAAGCAUCUUAAGUAGUUCAGCAAAGAAAGUCUGAAACAGUAGCUUGCAACAUACAACAUAACAUUGAGAAGACAUUUCAGGAUUAACUGAAUGUGACGGUCAUUAAAUUGUAUUACAUAAUCCUUAUAAGGUAAUGUGCAAAAGUGAUCAUUUUGUUGAGAAUCAAUUGGAAAACUAAGAAUAUUAACAGAGAGCUUGACCUCCCUCUCUAGUGAAGUAAUAGCUACAGUGAAUUGGCCAAGGGUACAGUUUCACAAAUUAAUCCUAGAAAUGAAAAAUGAAAGAAAACCUUGGUCUUGUACAUGCAGGUGACAGCCACGUUUAGGCUGGCAUUUUAAUGUCUGCUGAACUUCCUUGAAAAAUGGCACCAACUGCCACUGGCUGAUGCUUUGUGAGAGUGUGCAGUAGCAGCUGGGAGAUUUGAUGUAGCAUUAACUCCUGAUCAGAUUUUCAUUUGGAAAUCCAUGAAAUAAGCCUGGUUAGAAGGAGUUGAAUUGGCUGAGGCAUGCAAUGAAGUGAAUCUGAUGGCAGUGCAGAAAAUUAGUUGGUGCAGGAGAUAAUUCAGUAUUGGCAGUGACAGCAGAGUUGGUCAGCAGAUGCUUGUCACCAGCUCAAGGCAGUCGGUAAAAGGUAGGUGAAAUGAGUAGUUGACCAUAAAGUAGCAUAAAAGAGGAAAAUUCAAGACUUUUACUGUUUGUGUGGAGUAGCUAGACCAGGGGUGGCCAACCUGUGGCUCUUCAGAAGUUCAUAUGCAUCUCCUUGAAUCUUUGCACAAGCACAAGGGAGAGGGAGGAGCAAAGAUUCAAGGAGAUGCAUAUUAACUUCUGAAGAGCUGCAUGUGGCUCCAGAGCCAUCCCUGAGCUAGACCAUCUGUGCCAGGAGUGACCAACCUCCAGCACAGGUACAACAAGUAGCACACAGCAGAUCAAGGAGGGGACAGGAAGCACAAGGGCAGAUACAGCAUCUGGCAUCUGACCCCUUCCUGCAAGUGCACACAGCGGCAGUGAGCUGGCCCCAGCCUCCCCUGGAUGAGCCACCUGUGUCUCUGUCCUGCUCCCCAGCCAGGCCCCACAGCCGCACAUUCUCACCCUGGCCCCAGGCACUGCGCAUAACCACAGCUGGGCAGCACCCCCAGCCACCAACCCUGCCCCACUCCCUCCCGUGCUGUGAGGGCUUGGUGUAAGCUGCUACCUCACUCUCCCUACAAGUCACCUCCAUGUCACCUAUGCCCCCCACCUCACUUCCAUGCAUUGCCUAUGCCCCCUUCUAGAUUUACCUGCAGGCAGCUGUGGGAGCUGCUCUCCACCAUGCUGUCUGAGGCUGUAUUGAUGGCCAAGUGCAUGUGUGUGCACACACGUACACAUGGUGCUUCCCUGUCUCUGAUCACCUUCUUCCUGCUCCCCUCAGCCCCUAGCAGCUCCUUGCAGGCUGGAACUCUGCCACUCUGCAAGGGGAAACCCAUGGUUCCCCGUGUUUUUCUCCUUUGCAGGGGAAAAUCUGUGUUUUUCUACAGCAAACAGAAAACCUGGAUCUCUGUUGAUGAGUCAUUAGGCCCCUUGCUCUUUUCCUCUUAGGCUGUGCCAUGGUACUAGUCUCCCUUGCCCCUCGUCUGCCAUCCCCUUCACUCACCUCCCCUCCUCCUUGCUCCUUCCUUCCUCUUCCCUCCCCUGCUG